rnacentral:rRNA from 1 species
UACGGAGGGAGCGAGCGUUGUUCGGAAUCACUGGGCGUAAAGCGCGUGUAGGCGGUCUGUUAAGUCUGAUGUGAAAGCCCGGGGCUCACCCCCGGAAGUGCAUUGGAAACUGACAUACUGGAGUCCCGGAGAGGAGGGUGGAAUUCCUGGUGUAGCGGUGAAAUGCGUAGAUAUCAGGAGGAACACCGGUGGCGAAGGCGGCCCUCUGGACGGUGACUGACGAUGAGACGCGAAAGCGUGGGGAGCAAACAGG